rnacentral:lncRNA from 12 species
UGGCUUUCUUAACUUUAGCUAUUUAAGCUAUUCAGCUAAUCUCCCUCUGUAGCUCAGGGGGGGAGGGAGAUGUUUCUGGUUUACCUUUUAUCAGCUUUGGAGGCAGGGAUUUCUCCCUUUUGACUGUAAAAGGAGCCAAGAUUGUCUGAUGUUUGCUGUGGACUCUCUUCUCAGCUCAUGUGCUGCAACCAUUUGCUUUUCACUUGAAAGGACGUAAUCAGACAAAAAUCCCCUCAAAACCAGUUCUACUGAAGAAAAACCUAUGCAGGAGAAGCAAAUAUAUGA